rnacentral:rRNA from 1 species
AGAGUUUGAUCCUGGCUCAGGAUGAACGCUGGCGGCGUGCCUAACACAUGCAAGUCGAACGGGAACCUCUGGAUUCGUCUGGGGGGGAGAGUGGCGAACGGGUGAGUAACACGUAGGUGACCUGCCCUAAAGCGGGGAAUAACCACUGGAAACGGUGGCUAAUACCCCAUGUGCUCUUCGGUUCACUCCGUUGAGUAAAGCUCCGGCGCUUUGGGAGGGGCCUGCGGCCCAUCAGGUAGUUGGUAGGGUAACGGCCUACCAAGCCAAUGACGGGUAGGGGGCGUGAGAGCGUGAUCCCCCACACUGGCACCGAGACACGGGCCAGACUCCUACGGGAGGCAGCAGUGAGGAAUAUUGCCCAAUGGACGCAAGUCUGAGGCAGCAACGCCGCGUGAGCGAUGAAGGCCUUCGGGUUGUAAAGCUCUUUUCUGGGGGACGAGGAAGGACGGUACCUCAGGAAUAAGUCACGGCUAACUACGUGCCAGCAGCCGCGGUAAUACGUAGGUGGCGAGCGUUAUCCGGAUUUACUGGGCGUAAAGCGCGUGUAGGCGGUUCCGUAAGUCGGACGUGAAAGCUCCUGGCUUAACUAGGAGAGGCCGUUCGAUACUGCGGGACUUGAGGUCGGGAGAGGGACGUGGAAUUCCCGGUGUAGUGGUGGAAUGCGUAGAUAUC